rnacentral:rRNA from 1 species
AACGUAGGACGCGAGCGUUAUCCGGAGUUACUGGGCGUAAAGGGCGGGCAGGCGGGCAGGCAAGUGGGUUGUGAAAUCUCCUGGCUUAACCGGGAGGGGACAAGCCAGACUGCCUGGCUGGAGGGCAGCAGAGGUGCGUGGAAUUCCGGGUGGAGUGGUGAAAUGCGUAGAGAUCCGGAGGAACACCUGAGGCGAAGGCGGCGCACUGGGCUGAGCCUGACGCUGAACCGCGAAAGCCAGGGGAGCGAACGGG